UACAGAGGGGGCAAGCGUUGUCCGGAAUCAUUGGGCGUAAAGAGCGUGUAGGCGGCUUGGCAAGUCUGACGUGAAAUCUUGCGGCUCAACCGCAAGCGGUCGUUGGAAACUGCCUCGCUAGAGUCCGGAAGAGGAGAGCGGAAUUCCUGGUGUAGCGGUGGAAUGCGCAGAUAUCAGGAAGAACACCCGGUGGCGAAGGCGGCUCCUCUGGGACGGUACUGACGCUGAGAGCGAAAGCGUGGGGAGCGAACAGG
rnacentral:rRNA from 1 species